UACGAAGGGUGCAAGCGUUGUUCGGAAUUACUGGGCGUAAAGGGCGCGUAGGCGGGUUUGUAAGUCGAAUGUGAAAUCCCCAGGCUUAACCUGGGACCUGCAUUCGAUACUGCUAAUCUUGAAUGCUUGAGAGGGUGGUGGAAUUCCUAGUGUAGAAGUGAAAUUCGUAGAUAUUAGGAGGAACACCUGAGGCGAAGGCGGCCACCUGGCAAGACAUUGACGCUAAGGCGCGAAAGUGCGGGGAGCAAACAGG
rnacentral:rRNA from 1 species